rnacentral:sRNA from 126 species
GUCUGCACUUGUCGGGGAAGGGUGAGAACCUUCGAUUAAGGUUCGACUCGAGCGAAAGCGAGAGAACGUUGCCAACGGCAACGGCCCGUAGGGUGAGGAGCGAAGCGACGAAUAAUCCUUCCCCCACCACCA